CCCUUAGAGUUUGAUCCUGGCUCAGAGUGAACGCUGGCGGUAGGCCUAACACAUGCAAGUCGAACGGCAGCACAGUAAGAGCUUGCUCUUACGGGUGGCGAGUGGCGGACGGGUGAGGAAUACAUCGGAAUCUACUCUGUCGUGGGGGAUAACGUAGGGAAACUUACGCUAAUACCGCAUACGACCUACGGGUGAAAGCAGGGGAUCUUCGGACCUUGCGCGAUUGAAUGAGCCGAUGUCGGAUUAGCUAGUUGGCGGGGUAAAGGCCCACCAAGGCGACGAUCCGUAGCUGGUCUGAGAGGAUGAUCAGCCACACUGGAACUGAGACACGGUCCAGACUCCUACGGGAGGCAGCAGUGGGGAAUAUUGGACAAUGGGCGCAAGCCUGAUCCAGCCAUACCGCGUGGGUGAAGAAGGCCUUCGGGUUGUAAGGCCCUUUUGUUGGGAAAGAAAUCCAGCCGGCUAAUACCUGGUUGGGAUGACGGUACCCAAAGAAUAAGCACCGGCUAACUUCGUGCCAGCAGCCGCGGUAAUACGAAGGGUGCAAGCGUUACUCGGAAUUACUGGGCGUAAAGCGUGCGUAGGUGGUCGUUUAAGUCCGUUGUGAAAGCCCUGGGCUCAACCUGGGAACUGCAGUGGAUACUGGGCGACUAGAGUGUGGUAGAGGGUAGCGGAAUUCCUGGUGUAGCAGUGAAAUGCGUAGAGAUCAGGAGGAACAUCCAUGGCGAAGGCAGCUACCUGGACCAACACUGACACUGAGGCACGAAAGCGUGGGGAGCAAACAGAUUAGAUACCCUGGUAGUCCACGCCCUAACGAUG
rnacentral:rRNA from 1 species